rnacentral:lncRNA from 1 species
CAGUAGUGGUUUGCUUCAAUUAUUUGGAGAGAUAAUAGCAACUUUUUAAUUAUUCAUAACAUAUGCUUAGAAAACUUGGAACUUGAAGAAACCAUAGAAAUUAUCUUCUUCAAUCUUUUUAUUUUUCCAUCCCCAGAUAAUGAAACUUAGGCCAAGAGAAGUUAAAAGGCCCAUCUAAGGUGACUCUACUAGCCAUCCAGGAUGAGAAUUUCCAGAUCUUGUAUUUUUCCUCUAUUUGUGAGACAAUGAGAAGAAAUUAUGUCACUGGCCAAUUUUGUGUAUUUGAGCCUCAGAAAAGACAAAUGAAAACAAUGAACUUUAAAAUAUAAAACCUUCUGCUCAUCUGCUGCCAGUCUUCCAUUGCCAGCUACCCUGUUAGUGAGUAGAACCUGGUAAUCAAAAUUUAAAAAUACUUCAAAGUUCAAUUUCCAGGACUCUGUCAAAUAGCUAGAAAAAGUCGCUUUGACACUCUUAAGUCUUGGAGGUUUAUGUCUUAUACUGAAAGAUUAUUUGAGAUUUAUUAAAAUCAAAUAAGAUUUUGCUGGAAGAGAAAGAGCUAAAAUGAUAUAUCCAUGAAAUGCCCUGGGAACAGUACUUGUUCUAGUUGAACUGACAUCAAGAUAAAAUCUUCUGGUAACUCAGACAUCAAGGUUAUACUAUUUUUGACUACUGUUAUACAAAGGUUUUAAGGCAGCCUUUUUGGCUUUUAAGUAAUGCUCUGAGUCA